rnacentral:rRNA from 2 species
AAGUCGAACGAUGAAACUUAGUAGACUUCUUCGGAAAGACACUAAGCGGAUUAGUGGCGAACGGGUGAGUAACGCGUGAGUAACCUGCCUUACACAAGGGGAUAGCCUUUGGAAACGAAGAAUAAUACCCUAUAAAACCAUAAAAGCACAUGCUAGAAUGGUCAAAGUGAUAGCGGUGUAAGAUGGACUUGCGUCUGAUUAGCUAGUUGGUGAGAUAAAAGCUCACCAAGGCAACGAUCAGUAGCCGGCUUGAGAGAGUGUACGGCCACAUUGGGACUGAGACACGGCCCAGACUCCUACGGGAGGCAGCAGUGGGGAAUUUUGCACAAUGGGGGAAACCCUGAUGCAGCGACGCCGCGUGAUUUAGAAGGCCUUCGGGUUGUAAAAAUCUUUUGUAUAGGAAGAAAAUGACAGUACUAUACGAAUAAGGUCCGGCUAAUUACGUGCCAGCAGCCGCGGUAAUACGUAAGGACCGAGCGUUGUCCGGAAUCAUUGGGCGUAAAGGGUACGUAGGCGGCUAGAAAGGUUAGAAGUCAAAGGCUAUAGCUCAACUAUAGUAAGCUUCUAAAACUAUUUAGCUUGAGAAAUGGAAGGGAAAGUGGAAUUCCUAGUGUAGCGGUGGAAUGCGCAGAUAUUAGGAAGAAUACCGGUGGCGAAGGCGACUUUCUGGCCAUUAUCUGACGCUGAGGUACGAAAGCGUGGGUAGC